rnacentral:rRNA from 1 species
CUCAACCGUAGAACUGCAUCCCAAAACUAUUUAGCUAGAGUGUGGGAGAGGAAGAUGGAAUUAGUUGUGUAGGGGUAAAAUCCGUAGAGAUAACUAGGAAUACCAAAAGCGAAGGCAAUCUUCUGGAACACUACUGACGCUGAGGCGCGAAGGCGUGGGGAGCAAACAGGAUUAGAUACCCUGGUAGUCCACGCAGUAAACGAUGAAUGUUAGUCGUCGGGUAGCUAGUCUAUUCGGUGAUGCAGCUAACGCAUUAAACAUUCCGCCUGGGGAGUACGGUCGCAAGAUUAAAACUCAAAGGAAUAGACGGGGACCCGCACAAGUGGUGGAGCAUGUGGUUUAAUUCGAAGAUACGCGAAGAACCUUACCUAGCCUUGACAUAUUUUAGAAUCUUUCAGAGAUGAGAGAGUGCCUUCGGGAGCUAUUAUACAGGUGCUGCACGGCUGUCGUCAGCUCGUGUCGUGAGAUGUUGGGUUAAGUCCCGCAACGAGCGCAACCCUCGUCACUAGUUACUAACGGUUCGGCCGAGGACUCUAGUGAGACUGCCUUCGUAAGGAGGAGGAAGGUGAGGACGACGUCAAGUCAUCAUGGCCCUUACGGCUAGGGCAACACACGUGCUACAAUGGCCAGGACAGUGAGACGCGAUACCGCGAGGUGGAGCAAAUCUAUAAACCUGGUCUCAGUUCGGAUUGUAGUCUGCAACUCGACUACAUGAAGCUGGAAUCACUAGUAAUCGUAGAUCAGCUAUGCUACGGUGAAUACGUUCCCGGGUCUUGUACUCACCGCCCGUCACACCAUGGGAGUUGAUUUCACCCGAAGCGGGGAAGCUAAACUGGCUACCCUCCACGGUGGAAUUAGCGACUGGGGUG